AUGAGGGUUUUUUUGGUUCCUAGAGCAAGUAUUGAGAAUGCAAGUGCUGUGCAGCCGGAAUCAGAACAAGACCCUCCUAUUCAUGUUGCUAACAAUAGUGAGUUUAAUCCGGACGAAAUUCAAUCUGAUCCCGCACUGAGAAAACAAAUUGCUGAAUAUGCACCACAAAUUCAAGACCAAGUUAGGAGGGCAUACAUAUUAAAGGGUCGAAGUAAACCAGUAUUAGAAUUUCGCCGGACGGAUUCAAGAGCAUUUUCUAAGUCAUGGUAUGAAAAGUAUAACUGGAUAGAAUAUAGCGAGUCCGAGGAUGCAGCUUUUUGUUUCUAUUGUUUCUUGUUCAAGCAACCUGGAAGGGCUGAACACUUUGGGUUUGAAGUCUUCACCAAAACAGGUUUUAGGGACUGGAAACAUGCAUGUAGAGCCUUACCUGAGCAUGUAGGUGGUCUGAAUAGUGGUCACAACAAUUGUGUUAGGCAUUAUGAUGAUUUCAAAAAUCAAAGACAAAGUGUGUCAACCAUGUUCGCUUGUGCAACUGAGGAAUCUCACAGAUUAUAUAAGAUCCGCUUGACUUCUUCUCUAGAGUGUGUAAGGUAUCUCAUAGCACAAGGUUUGUCAUUCGGUGGCCAUGAUGAAUUUACUACUUCAUUGAACAAGGGAAACUUUCUAGAGAUGAUAGAUUGGUUAAAGGAUAGCAAUGAAGAAGUAAGAGAUGCUUUUGAUCAUGGUGGAGAAAACUGCAAGAUGACUUCCGGUGAAAUACAAAAGGACCUUGCAAGGUGUUGUGCAGAAGAAGUCACCGAAGUGAUUAUGCGGGAGCUUGGUGAUAAGAAGUUCUCUGUUCUUAUUGAUGAGUCACGCGAUAUAUCGGUGAAAGAACAAAUGGCAGUAAUGUUGAGGUUAGUAACUAUCUUUUAUUUUUGGGGUUCUUUAUUUACUUCAAUUCUUCGUUCAUCCAUGAUUUAUCUUUUCAUUCUAAUUUUUUGUAGGUAUGUGAAUGAAGGGAAGGUUGUGGAACGAUUUCUAUGUCUGCACCACAUCAAAGAUACUACAUCCGAGUCACUGAAGUUAGCUCUUGUAAAGCUUCUUGAUCAUUACAAAUUACAAUUUCAAGGCUACGAGGGCAAGGGUAUGACGGUGCUUCAAACAUGA
rnacentral:rRNA from 1 species